CCCAGACUCCUACGGGAGGCAGCAGUGAGGAAUAUUGGUCAAUGGGCGGGAGCCUGAACCAGCCAAGUCGCGUGAGGGAAGACGGUCCUACGGAUUGUAAACCUCUUUUGCCGGGGAGCAACGGGGUCCUUGCGAGGGCCCGAUGAGAGUACCCGGAGAAAAAGCAUCGGCUAACUCCGUGCCAGCAGCCGCGGUAAUACGGAGGAUGCGAGCGUUGUCCGGAUUUACUGGGUGUAAAGGGCGUGCAGCCGGGAAGACAAGUCAGAUGUGAAAUCCCGCGGCUCAACCGCGGAACUGCAUUUGAAACUGUUUUUCUUGAGUACUGGGGAGGCAGACGGAAUUCCUAGUGUAGCGGUGAAAUGCGUAGAUAUUAGGAGGAACACCAGUGGCGAAGGCGGUCUGCUGGACAGCAACUGACGCUGAGGCGCGAAAGCGUGGGGAGCAAACAGGAUUAGAUACCCCGGUACC
rnacentral:rRNA from 1 species